UUGUUGCCCUUGAGUUGUAAUGAAGGACCCCUGAAGAGAGACCCUCACUCAAGUCUCGGGAAUAGCGCGCACCCAGCGAGACACUGAGACCG
rnacentral:pre_miRNA from 7 species